rnacentral:rRNA from 1 species
CCUACGGGAGGCAGCAGUGGGGAAUAUUGCACAAUGGGGGAAACCCUGAUGCAGCGACGCCGCGUGAGUGAAGAAGUAAUUCGUUAUGGAAAGCUCUAUCAGCAGGGAAGAAAAUGACGGUACCUGAGUAAGAAGCCCCGGCUAACUACGUGCCAGCAGCCGCGGUAAUACGUAGGGGGCAAGCGUUAUCCGGAUUUACGGGGUGUAAAGGGAGCGUAGACGGCAGUGCAAGUCUGGAGUGAAAGGCGGGGGCUCAACCCCCGGACUGCUCUGGAAACUGUACGGCUGGAGUGCAGGAGAGGUAAGUGGAAUUCCUAGUGUAGCGGUGAAAUGCGUAGAUAUUAGGAGGAACACCAGUGGCGAAGGCGGCUUACUGGACUGUAACUGACGUUGAGGCUCGAAAGCGUGGGGAGCAAACAGGAUUAGAUACCCCAGUAGUC